UUCAUAAAUGCGAAUGUAUCGAAGAUUUAAAAAAUUAAAGAUGUACACGUGUAUUGAUUGAGAUUUGUCGAUAUGAUAUAAUGAAAAAGAAUGUGCAUGAAAAAAUAUGUAGAAAACGUCAUGUCGAUCUAGUUAGUUUCUCGGCCGGUCGAGAAAAAGAAUCUGCGACGGCCGGUAUUUGCCGAGUUACGAAAGUAAGCAGCUUUAGAAAGUAUAUAAUAGUACGCGACAAGGUGAACGGCGGCCUAAGCCCGGGAUCUUGCACGAUUACAAAGUCCAACAGCGUAUUUAGGCAACACUAAUUUCGUAUGUAGAUGGAACUUAAAUUAUAAUAAUAAUUUAUCGAUAUUUUCAUUCGACAUUUUUAAUAGCGUGAUAAAUAUUUAAAAAGAUAAACUUGUGCAAUAAAUCAAUAAUUAAUGUGUAUGUUACAAAAUGCAUGUGUGCAUAUGGUUCCAGAAAUAUUAUUUAAAAUCAUUCCCUCCAAGCAUAAUAUUUUUGUAUUUCUACAAUAUUUCUAAAAUCCAAAGUCUUACAAAACGUUUCAUUAAAUCACAUACUGGAAAUAGUGAUGGUAAUUCUGGAAAAUUUUGCACACGUACAAUUUAACAUAAUAAUUUACGAUAUAUAUAUAUAUAUAUAUAUAUAUAAUGAAAUAAGUCAUAGCACUCAAGGAUGUGCGAAUCUAAAUGUUUGAUGAUUAUUGAUACAAGAAUAAUCGCAAUAGAUACAUCAAAUUGAGAAGAAGCAAAUGAGUCGUCGAGAGAAUUUCCAUUGAAGUAUGGCCGGUACUCGCUCAGUGUUUUCCGUGAUCCCAGAGCCUCUUAAUAUUGUUUGUUACAGCUGGGGGAACAUGGCUUCCACUGUUGAGCCCGAGCAAUGUAUGUUAAAUCGCGAAUGCAAUAAUCUGUAGAUCCACGGAUCUAAGAUUAGAUAGGAAAUUGAGGAAUUGAAGAGGUCAAAAGUUUUAAAAAUAGAAGAUAAAAUGUGUAUACAUUGUAAAACCAAUAAAAGGAAUUCAAAACCAAUAAAAUGUCAUUGAACAAAAAAUUUUUAACAUCAGUUUAUAACGUGCAAAGUACUCAAAGAUUUAAAUAUGUAAGAUUAAAAGAAAAUUAUAUAAAAAUAAAAUAAAGCGUCAUCUUUAGAACUAAAGAUCUGUUAAUCAAAAAUCUAGAAUGAAACGUAAAAUUUCCUAAAAUUAUAAUAGGAUCAAUGGAAUGACGCGUGGUUUCAUCACGAGAGAGACUUUUAGUCGAUUCUGGCUCUCAUCCCAUAUAUGCCUCGGUUUUAUAAGAGGAUUAGAGAAUUUGAAGGUUACGAGUGAAGGGAUACGAUGUGAAUGGUAAACGCGUUCUGAGAACCCAUAUCCUUUCUAUAUGUACAUAAAGACGUAGAUUAUCGAAAUGAAUAUAUCAUAUACUUAUUUUCGAUAUAUUAAGGUGAAUCUAAGAUCCAUGAAUAGCAGAUCCGCAGAAGAUAACAAUAUCAGGAAAAUAAAUUAAAAAAUGAAGUUUUCGUAGUGUCAAAAUAUUACACUUCUAGCUACCAUACAAUUAAAUACAAUACAAAUUCAAUUUCCUUAUUUCACUGUUCUGCAGAGAGUUAGGAAUAUUGUUACUAUCGCGCCGUACUCGUUCUUUCUUUCUCAUACAAAAGAACGAAAGAGAAGGACGAAGAUUUAGAAUGUAGAACGAUUCGAUUUUUAGCGCGCACGUCCGACGGAUGGAAAAAAAAAAGGGGAUCUCCAACGUCGUUGGAAGAAGAAAGCAGUUUACGUUAUAAUAAAAUUGUGCUUUGUCGCGGGGCCGAUAGGAGAGAGAAAAAGACUGACUGUCGUUUUGCAUAUAAGCCAAGCCAGUUUCUCACCCCCACUGACCCAGCGACCGAGAGAGCCUGCGCUGUUGUCGCUGGCUCGCGUGCGCGCGCGCGCGCGCACGGCAAAAGAAGUGGCUGGGACGACUGGGAUGAGCCUUCCCGUCCUCCGCUGCUUCCUGCUGCGUUCCUCAUCGCUACGUAUUCUCCGCAGUCGGCCGCCGUAACAAACGUUAGAUCACACACUGGCGAUCGAGCCGGAGCUACACGGCACGGUCACGUGACAGCGACAGUUGCGUCACACAGUUCGGCCCCUCUCGCCGAGCCGACCAACGAGUGAGAGGGACCCGCCAUCUUUAUUCACCGAGUGAGCGACAAUGUGCGAAAAUGAGAGAAAGAGGGACCGCGAACACACACGGCACCAACAACGAUGGACCACCGACAUUUUCUUUUCCAAUCUUUUUUUCUAAUUUCAAUUCCAACGAUCGACACACGAAUGUGAAAGUAGAAAAAUAUUAACUUGGUAAUACUGUAAAGUUUCGUACCUCUAACAAAGUCGAAUAAUAACGGAGAUAUUGCGCGACUCAUAAAAUAUAAAUUUUUUUUUAUAACGGGAGAGCAAAGUAUCAAAAAUCAAUUCGCAAAUUAUGAUUUGUAAAAUGAGAAUUUGCUGAGCUUAUAAAGUAUGAAAUUUAAUGUUUAAAAAGUUGUGAAAUCUCGAACAAAUUUGGAAAACUGAAAAACUAGUCAAUCAGUUAAGCAGUUAGUAAUCGAGGAGUGAAGAAAUCGACAAGCUGUCAUUAAUAGCUUUCACCUUUCUCGCAACACAGUUUCGGCAAUUCGCCAGACAGAAUGCACAAAGUUCGAUCGCUAGAUCUCUAUUCACCACACUGGUUGGCGUUGGUCCUCGAACGGAAAUAUUGAAUGAUACUAGGCUUGCGCGAUAAGUAUAUAGAGAUGGGAAAGAGGGGAAAAAAGAGAGAACCAGAGAGGUCCAAAGGUUGCGGUAAAUAGGUCAAACAGUCACAGUCAAUGAGUCGCAUACUUUUUUUUUCUCCCGCGUCCGUUUUCCAUACGCAGAAGGAAAGUACCUUAAGAGAGAUCGAUUUUUCUUUUCUUCUCUUUCUCAUCUCUUUUCCGUCUUUCUUUUGUCUUGAGAGAAAGCAGAUUUUUUUUCGGCGAUUAACAGGCCUGUCUUGAUACUCACACACAGGAAAAGAUCAAAUCCAAAAAUACGUACGAUGUCGAGUGCGAAAUCAAACCAGCAUGAGAGUCCUGCUUCCGGUCACGCCACGCACGCAGAAAUCGCGAUUCGUGCGACAUUACUCGUAUAGGCGGCGCCUGUGGUUUCUGUUGGUUCCUCUUCUUUGAAAAUGGACGUUUGUAUCUUUGAGACACAAUAUUACUCUUUUCGGCUUCUCAUAAUCCCCCUUUUUCUAAACUGCUCUUAUUUACGUUUUCUUUUUUUUCUUAAUGAUAUCGCGAUAGACAAGUCUUCGUAAACUUGAAUAAAGUAAUCGAUUGAAAGUAAUCGAUUUAAUUCAAUCCUCUUGAUACUAUAAAGCAAAGAAAAGUACUCGAGAAAUAGAUGGUGCCCGUUACUAUAAAGCCGAUUAGCUUCUGGAAACCGUUCUGUGUGUAUAUAUAGAUUCAAGAUCUUGAUUAAAUAGAAUUACUCUGGAUUUCUCGUUUCCUUGAAUUCCUCCCGUCCCAGCAAAGAAACCGGAAGUUGUAUUAAUAUCGGCACUUUUUCUUUUGAGUUUUCAAAAGAAAAGAUUUUGGAAAACUCAAAAGAAAAAAAAGAGAAAUACUCUUCGGUGAAUUAUCCGCAGCGAAUGAAGAAAACGACAGGUGAAUCGAUCGAGUGGCCAUUCGAAAAAGCCAUCGUUAGGCGGCGAAGGCGAACGAAGCAAUAGUACGGACUGCGGACCGAGACUAACGCGAAACACAACCGAACCGGAGAAGGAGCUGCGACGAACGAGAACGCGGACGAGCGCGUAGCUCGAGCCGUACCGCACUCUCAGCUUUUACCCCCCACCACGAUUCAGCACGAUCGGCCGCAUCCGGCGAUGACGAUGGCGCGCACUCGCCAGAAGUCGCAGGAACACAGUCGCUUGCUGCUAUUGGUCGAACGCCGUUGCUACUUGAGUCGCGAUUGGUUGACGCGCGCACACACAGCCAUUCACGCGAAAUAUUGCACACUUGGCACGGCUUGCUGCCCGCCUCCCUUCUCCCAACCUCGCCCUCUUCUCCCGACACACGCGCAUCGAUAUACGAGAGCACGAGCGUGCGCACAUUUCGCACGCGCGCGCAAUAUUUCCAUUGUCGGCGAUCUAUGUACGGUGGACGGCGCGGCGCGUAUAUCGUUAACGCGCGUACGUACAAGUAGGUUCACUCUCGCCAGCACGAUUCUACGACACAGCCGAACAGGAACUGCUGGCGGUGCGCGCGAGAACCCGCUACUUAUGCUACGAGUGGGAAGAAACAGCGGCAGCGGCGGCGACGGCGGAAUCGAGCCGUGCGCCGCGCCUCACCGCGCCGCCUGUGCGGUACGCUUCGCCUUUGGACUCGCUAUUCCAACUACCGCGAAUUCUAACAGCCAAUCGCCGUGGCUACGUUAUAGUGCGAUUCAAGCCGGAAGAUUCAUUUGGUUAUGUAAAACCUGCAUCGCGCGCCAUAGACAAGAUUAGAUCGUGUAUCUACACUUCUCUUCAGAUUUUUCAAAUAAUAAAAUACGUACGAUCCUUUUUUGUUAAAACAGCGAGAGAGAAAGAGGAUUUUUCUCUGCUUUUCAUCAAUCACUAAAUAAAAGCCAUAAUCUAUUUAUAACGAUACAGGAUUAACUGCGUCUUGCGAAAUGUUUUAGUCUUCCGUGAUCAGCGUGGAUUCCGACAAUGUGUGUUUCAUCGAAAAGAGAGAGGAAUGUUUCAUUAUCUGUGUGUUACGUAACGCUCGACGAUUGUUGAACGAGCAUUGAAGAACCGACAAUUAACAAUUCAAUGAUUAAACGAUUAAACGAAGACAACGGAAAUGGAAAGUACUAUUUAUUCUUGUAUUACUAUUGAACAAAUCUAGUUUACCUAUUUAUAAGGAUUUUUGUUAAACUCGGAUAAUAGAUUACUCCGACAAUAAGACAUUUGAAUGUGUAAUCGAACUUGAAAAAAAAGAAAGGUUUUCUAUCGAAAUGCAACAACUUAACAGACUCGAAUGUUAACCGUAACGAUAGCGAAGCAGUUGAAAGGGUUAAAGCGAUUUGGUAGCAGUAGCGUUCAGUCGCGACGUGGUACGUGGUACAACCAGGAGGAUGGUGGGGAAAAGAGGAAGGGUUAGACCGAUCCGUAAAACGUCGGGACUCAACUCGUCGACCGUCCUAUUUCUGCGCUCGGGAAAGUUCGUACACCGAAGCGAUCGCGCACGAAGCGACAGAGAUAUAAGUAGGUCGUUCGUAGCCGCACGUGUCGUCCUUGACUCACAUAGAGUGGCGCGCAGGCGCUCGCUGUUGCCGCAUUGCUGGUCGCUAGGGCUCUUUCUUUGUCGUCUCUGCGCGCGUUGCACGAGUGUGUUGGUGCUUUGUGCGCCUGGAUCAGAUACUUGUAUGCGUACGUGCGUUCGCGCGCUCGUUUGCGGAUGGGAGCUUCCCGUUGCUCGAUAGGUGCGCGUGCGCGUAUAUACAUAUAGGGUGUCUGAAAAGAAUAUGUUUGCGCGGUGAAAGUUUCCUUCUUUUUUUCAGCUUUUUUGCUCUCGAAGCAUUCGCGGAUUGAAUAAUUGGAAAAGGAUACAUGAAAAAUAUCCAACUGAAAGAGCAUAUCUGUAGAAUUUCCAAAAAGGAAAUCACUUUAAACAUUAGUAAAGUAUUAAAAUCUAGUUUUUUCACUCCAACUAUCUCGUGUAGCAUUUGUGCAUGACCAAGAGCGAUAAUCGAAAGUGAUAAAAAAGAGAAAGGUUAUCAGAAAAGAGUUUUAUUUCCUCUUCCUUGUUGGGAAUGAGUGCGAUGUAUCGAAGCAUGCGUGAUGCAACGCGCCAUGACAAAAUUAUACAUGUUUGAUUUUUUUCUUCAUGUUUGUUCGCGUUUAUAACUUAUAAACCAUUAGUUGCUCGGCAUUAUUACGCAAAAGUUAACGACAAUAGAGUCUAUAAAAUAGAUUUAGCUUACGACCUUUGCAUUCUACAGUCGCGAGACUUAGCGACGGCAAUUUACUAUUGUUGUCAAGGACAUUCUCGCAUCACGAAGACCUCGGUACGGAGAAUCGACGGUAGCUUAGCUUGGCUUUGGCAUCGUGGCAUGAGUAUUGAUCGCAACGGGAACUCAAAGGGGAGGCCACCACGCUGGGCUAUUCGAACCCCAAUUGGAUCACCCUACCUCAUGUGGUAGGCAACCAGAGGAGAAUACGAGCGAGGACAGCCUAUUUUUCAAUAUGUUAGGAAUGAGAUAUUUAUAUAUAUAUACGAGAUGUGUAGAAUGCUGAAAAUGAGACUGGAAUAGUGAUAUUCUAUUUCUGGUAUGUAAUAACGAUAUGAAAUUUCGCGAGUUUAAUAAAUGAUCAAACUAGAACAGAUACGUUAAUUCUGAAAUAAUGACAGAUUGUUAACGUUGUGACUGACGUUACGAUCGUACAAUCAUAUAUAAUUACACUUGAAUGUUUGAGCCAUAUUGCUGUGGUAUAUUGAGUCAGUGUAUAGUCAUUGAUCAGGCAAAAGAGUUGUACAUGCAAUUUGACGACCAUGAAUUUUAUGAUUUGUAGUGUUGAUUUUUUCCUAGAUCAAAUAGGUGUGCAUUAAUACGUGGAAACUUUACAAAUCGAACAUCAAAAGGCUCGUUCUUUUUCCAUACUCUAAGCCUGAAUACGGUUCAUGAGAGAAAAGAUAAACCAUGCAAAAUUCAGUCGUCAGGGAUAAAACAAAAAACAAACCUAAAUUCUUCUAUUAAUUAUUAAUCAUUAUUUGGAAUAAUUAUAAUUUAGAAGAUACUAGUAGAUUACUUAGUAUCUUCUAAUACUAGUUCUAUAUUGUAUUAAAUAAACUAGGAAACUAUUUA